UACGGGGGGGAGCAAGCGUUGUUCGGAUUUACUGGGCGUAAAGGGCGCGUAGGCGGCCACCGCAAGUCAGUUGUGAAAUCUCUGGGCUUAACCCAGAAAGGUCAACUGAUACUGCGGGGCUAGAGUGCAGAAGGGGCAACUGGGAAUUCUCGGUGUAGCGGUGAAAUGCGUAGAUAUCGGAAGGAACAUCAGUGGCGAAAGCGACUUCCUGGACCAGUACCGACGUUCAGGCACGAAAGCGUGGGGAGCAAACAG
rnacentral:rRNA from 1 species